rnacentral:rRNA from 1 species
AUUGAACGCUGGCGGCGGGCCUAACACAUGCAAGUCGAACGAGUGGCGGACGGGUGAAUAAUGUAUUGGAAACUGCCUGAUGGAGGGGGAUAACUACUGUAAACGGUAGCUAAUACCGCAUACCAUCAUAUGGGCCCUGAUUGGAUUAGCUUGUUGGUGGGGUAACGGCUCACCAAGGCGACGCUCCCUAGCUGGUCUGAGAGGAUGACCAGCCACACUGGAACUGAGACACGGUCCAGACUCCUACGGGAGGCAGCAGUGGGGAAUAUUGCACAAUGGGCGAAAGCCUGAUGGAGCCAUGCCGCGGGUGUGAAGAAGGCCUUCGGGUUGUAAAGUACUUUCAGCGGGGAAGCGUUACCCGCAGAGGAAGCACCGGCUAACUCCGUGCCAGCAGCCGCGGUAAUAC